UUUCCUGUGGCUCAGUUCGUAGAGCAUUGCUUUAAUAACACAAAGGUUGUGGGUUCAAAUCAGGGAAU